AUGUUUUCUUUAGCCAUGCCAAGAAAGCCUAAAAUAAUCCGCAGCUCCUGAUUUCAAAAUAAUUCACUGACAGAAUCUCAGAGGUCAGGAUCUCCCUAGACUCAGCACAUGUAAGAAGCACACGCCAGUGCAUCCAGAUAAUCAUUCUACAGAGGAUCUGCAGACUUCCAAGUGAAAAAGUCAUAUUUUCUGCAAGAAAAUACCUGUAGUACUUUGAGAGGUUGUCCAGCUGGAAAGUCCCUGAAGGGAGCUCCUGCCUCAAACUUGCCUAAUGGGAGAUGAGAAGCUACUAGACUAGAGAAUCAUAGGGAAGAAGUCCUGGAAGAAGCACAUUUCCCUCACUGCCUUUGGAAUGAAGGUCACACUUCUGGAUCAGAGCAUCCAGCUUUCAGAAAUCACUCGAAAGUAGAAGAACAUUCAGAAGACACCCUGCAGUGUGCUUGCUCAGGCCUCUGGUCUACCCUGUGCUCCUGAAGAGGAUGGUCACCACCAUCACAAGCACAAGGUGCUGGACCAGGCUGCCCUUGCUCUGAGUCUAUCCCUGUUUCCAAGAGCCAGAGAUGACCCAGCUAGGAGCUAGCUAGCUCUGUUUUUCUCAUACUUCAGAUUUCUGACAAUUCUCCUUAUCUUUUAGAGUAAAUUAGUUGAAUAGAAAAGUGUUCAUUAGAACAACCUGUUUUAUCAUCGUUUGUGUAUAUGUAAGAUAGGGCAAAAUGGAGAGGAAGAGAGAGGACACAAGCUGUGGGCAUUUUGGAUAGAAUAAAGGGGUCUGUGAUCCCUUCACCAAGAAAAACUGCAAGUCAGAUCAUCAGUGUGUGAAUUGGAAUAGUCCCAUUGCAAUCAAUGGAAAUGCACUAUUUAGCCUAGCAGAGGAUUUAACCUGAGUUUUUUACAAAAGAAUGGCCCUUAGAUCUGCAAAAGGAGGUUGCUGACACACAGAGCUCUGCAAAUUUCUUCAAUUUGUUCAGCUGGUUAUACAUUUCACUGUAAGUCAGAUCUCAGAUCCACCUCCUCUCUCACCCAUUAAUUCUGCUCUAAACCUGACCUUCUUUGUUCUUUGACCUUCUUUUGCCACAGUUCCUAGUAAUCCUUUUAUUUCUGCAGCUCCAUCUAUCUCACAAUCUCUGCUUCCUUUCUUACUUGGGUCCUGUGUACUAUAAAAUAUCCACUGAAUUUUCAUGUGCUGCAUAGUGUGCCAAAUUGCCUCAUGAAGGACACUCCAUAAAAUGUUCUUCUGAAAACACUGUCAAAUACACUACAUAGUUUCUACAAAACUAAUUUUGUGCUUCAACAUGUGAGCAUCAAUUCUUACCAACAAGAUUAUUCUAAUUAAAAUUUCAGUUCAAGUAGAAAAAAACAAAAAACCCACCAACAACAAGAACAACAACAAAAAGAGGGACGGUCAGUGUUGGUGCUGUACAGCUGGGAAUCAAGUGAACAUUGCAUUCGUGGUUUGGAAACAAGUAGUUCACAGCAGAAGGCACUAAAGCAGUUUUCAGACAGUGUGUGAGUUUACAAAUUAAGCUCUCCUUAUUUCAAGUUUUCUUUAUGUGUCAGUGUGUUUU